GACGAACGCUGGCGGCGUGCUUAACACAUGCAAGUCGAGCGGUAAGGCCCUUUCGGGGGUACACGAGCGGCGAACGGGUGAGUAACACGUGGGUGACCUGCCCUCAGCUCUGGGAUAAGCCUGGGAAACUGGGUCUAAUACCGGAUAUGACUCCAUGACGCAUGUUGUGGGGUGGAAAGCCUUGUGCGGCUGAGGAUGGGCCCGCGGCCUAUCAGCUUGUUGGUGGGGNGAUGGCCUACCAAGGCGACGACGGGUAGCCGGCCUGAGAGGGCGACCGGCCACACUGGGACUGAGACGCGGCCCAGACUCCUACGGGAGGCAGCAGUGGGGAAUAUUGCGCAAUGGGCGGAAGCCUGACGCAGCGACGCCGCGUGAAGGAUGACGGCCUGGUGUAAC
rnacentral:rRNA from 1 species